UAAUACGGAGGGGGCAAGCGUUGCUCGGAAUUACUGGGCGUAAAGCGCGCGUAGGCGGUGCACAUAGUCAGGCGUGAAAGCCCCGGGCUUAACCCGGGAACUGCGUUUGAUACUGGUGUGCUAGAAUCCGAAAGAGGGCAGUGGAAUUCCCAGUGUAGAGGUGAAAUUCGUAGAUAUUGGGAAGAACACCAGAGGCGAAGGCGGCUGCCUGGUUCGGUAUUGACGCUGAGGUGCGAAAGCGUGGGGAGCGAACAGGAUUAGAUACCCUGGUAGUCCACGCCGUAAACGAUGAGUGCUAGUUGUUGGGCAGCAUGCUGCUCGGUGACGCCGCUAACGCUUUAAGCACUCCGCCUGGGGAGUACGGUCGCAAGAUUA
rnacentral:rRNA from 1 species